rnacentral:rRNA from 1 species
GGCUUAACACAUGCAAGUCGAGGGGCAGCAUGGUCUUAGCUUGCUAAGGCCGAUGGCGACCGGCGCACGGGUGAGUAACACGUAUCCAACCUGCCGUCUACUCUUGGACAGCCUUCUGAAAGGAAGAUUAAUACAAGAUGGCAUCAUGAGUCCGCAUGUUCACAUGAUUAAAGGUAUUCCGGUAGACGAUGGGGAUGCGUUCCAUUAGAUAGUAGGCGGGGUAACGGCCCACCUAGUCUUCGAUGGAUAGGGGUUCUGAGAGGAAGGUCCCCCACAUUGGAACUGAGACACGGUCCAAACUCCUACGGGAGGCAGCAGUGAGGAAUAUUGGUCAAUGGGCGCAGGCCUGAACCAGCCAAGUAGCGUGAAGGAUGACUGCCCUAUGGGUUGUAAACUUCUUUUAUAAAGGAAUAAAGUCGGGUAUGUAUACCCGUUUGCAUGUACUUUAUGAAUAAGGAUCGGCUAACUCCGUGCCAGCAGCCGCGGUAAUACGGAGGAUCCGAGCGUUAUCCGGAUUUAUUGGGUUUAAAGGGAGCGUAGAUGGAUGUUUAAGUCAGUUGUGAAAGUUUGCGGCUCAACCGUAAAAUUGCAGUUGAUACUGGAUAUCUUGAGUGCAGUUGAGGCAGGCGGAAUUCGUGGUGUAGCGGUGAAAUGCUUAGAUAUCACGAAGAACUCCGAUUGCGAAGGCAGCCUGCUAAGCUGCAACUGACAUUGAGGCUCGAAAGUGUGGGUAUCA